CUCUCCCGCCGUGUCCAGGGGCCUUUGGGUCGCCGUCGGCGACCUUCGGGCGCGGGGCCCAGAAAUGCCUGCAAGCCUCGGGCGCCGCCUCAGCCCGGGGACGCCAGUCCGGGCCGGGAGGAGCACGUGCUUCUGCCCAGUUCCUCGUUGGGGAUUUUCCUCCUCUCUUUUCCUUCCCGCCCCCUGUUAAGGUGGUGUGUCACGCUGGUGGAGUGUGAAAUUGGUGAAGUCCAGAACGGUGGUCCGUGGAUGCCUGGCUGUGUGUGGAGCAGGGCCGUGCAGCACAGACAGCUGUCCUCCCUCGACAGACUGGGGCUCCCGCCGCGGCACUGCGUGGUGACGGUGUGGAGCUGACCCCACACGGGUGUGAAAGAGCCCUGCAAGGCUGUGUACUUGAAGGUCCAGGACCCAGACCCUGGAAGAUGCUGUUGCAUGUGGAGUUCUCCUCCUUCUCUGCUUCCCUGCUGGCUCUGAAUGAUUUGUGACUGCAUUCCACAAAGAUCCAAUGUGACAAGAGCAGAAGAAAACAUUAAAAUACUUUUUAGAGUUUGGUCUUACAGGUGAUGUCCAGUCAUAGUUUUGGAGACAGACCAGUGACAAGACACACCGAGUCCAUGCAGCUGCAGUUCCCUUCCGUCAGCGCUUGCUCCCUUAUAUACCUGGGAGCCCAUGAGGUCAAUCCUCAUUGGCUGAGCCUGUUACUUCCUGCUCAGCCAGCCAAUAGAAGCCUGAGUCUCCGACGGCCUGGGCCUGCUCUUCCUGGUCUAAUUUUAUAAAUUCCAAGCAGAAUGCUGCAGUGGGCAUGUGUGAAGAUGAAGAUCUGAAAGUUUCAGAAAUAUGAACAGAAGAAGGGAGCUGAAUGCUGAUGAUGCAAAAUUCCACCUGCUCUCUAGUAUGAAUCUGAAUCCUCUUCAGGACCACACAUCACUGAAAAGGAGCUUCCAUUUUUUCCUGCUAAGGCUCCAUGGCUGGCAAUCUUACAAGUGUACUUUGCUUGCCCUGGCUACCCAAUUAGCAGCUUCAGACUACAAUUCACUUCAUCUUCC